UUCCCCUUCCUGCAGCUCCAGGAACAUCCCAACCUGAGGAGUGAGGGUCAGCUUAGCUGACUGUGACUCCCCUGUGGCUCUGUAGGUCCUUCUUGUGGAUGGAAAUGGGGUGCUUCACCACCGAGGUAAUCCUGCUCCCAAAAGAGAAGGUCAGGGUGGGUGCUGGGAGAGACUGGGAGAGGGUACUUCCCACCCCACGGCAAGAGCAUCUGCCAGCCAGGCACUGAUGGCUGCUUUCUGGGCUUGUUUUCACCAUCAGGACAGAUCCCCACCCAGAGAAGAGCCCCACUUUCACCCCACCCUCACUGCUACCCUCCUCUUCCCCACAGUACCCUAUGCAGGCCCCUCUCCAGGACCUUGGUCUAGUGCCAGCCUAUCCCCUGUGAAAAGUCAUGGGUCUGAGCUCAGGGCACCCCACCCUCACUACUGUCCCCAAGCUGGACAGUCAGGUCUCUGUCUAGAAUCAGAGUGGCAUUUCCUAUAGAUGAAGGGACCUUGGCCCAGGAGUGGCAUUUCCUAUAGAUGAAGGGACCUUGGCCCAGGAGAGUGCUGAGGUUGAUGGUCACCUGGCCCAAAGCCAAAGGGUAAAUGCAUGCUGACCUGGAUGCUGGUGCUGGGACCAACUGGCUGCUCCAGGGCACGGCACAGGCCAUGGGAAGAUAUGCAGAGGCCUCAGGGCAGCAGCAAAGGGAGAGGAGGAAGGAAGUUGCCAGAAAAUGAAAGGAAGCAGAGGGURAAGUGUUGUGAGCAUGCUGAUCAGGCUACUGGGCCUGCCAGGCAGGAGGCCUCCUCUGCCCCGACCUCACCCAGGACCUCGCAGCCGAGAGGGUCUUGGAGUCUGGUCCCUGAGUGCUCUACUGGUCUGCAGAGGGUGUGGUUCUGUUCAUCCCUCACCCUGCACCCCUCUUCAGGCUGCGUGGCUUACUGCUGCCCAACCCCAUUGCCCCAGUUCACCCUCCUCUGCCCCCUGCCAGGCUUUGGGGUGGCCUGCCACCUUGGCGUCCUCACAGAGCUGCCCUGCAUUGGGGUGGCCAAGAAACUCCUGCAGGUGGAUGGGCUGGAGAACAAUGCCCCGCACAAGRAGAAGAUCCGGCUCCUGCAGGCUGGAGGAGAUACAUUUCCUCUGAUGGGAGGCUCUGGAACUGUCCUGGGAAUGGCCCUGAAGAGCCACAGUCACAGCACCAAGCCUCUCUACAUCUCUGUGGGCCACAAGAUAAGCCUGGAGGCCGCCGUGCGCCUGAYCCAAUGCUGCUGCAGGUUCCGGAUCCCAGAGCCUGUGCGCCAGGCUGACAUCCGCUCUCGAGAACACAUUCGCAGGACUCUGGGACACCUCAGGCCAUCUGAACCAGGGCACGCCAGGAGUCAGAAGGCACAUUGUCCAAAGGCAUGCCCCAAAGGGGGUCCAGGAGAGCCUACAGACCCCUCAGGACCACAGCAGAGGCCCCAGGACAGACUUGGAGGCUCCCAGGAGCAGCAGAGCCGGGACUGGAGUGGAGGAGAUGGGGUGCCAUGAGCACUCGGGCUGCUGGCUUCCCACUCCCGCCUCAGGACAGUAGCUGUGGGGACCUCACCUAACCACAGACUAGCGUUAUCAGGAAGAGCUGCCUUCCUGCACACACACACCAGGCCUGCUGCUGCUUGGGAUGCUGAUCUGCAAUGGAGCACUCUAAUGAUGUCACUGCUGCGGCCUGACUGGCAAACCCCCCUCCCUGGGUGACUGCCCUGGUGUUGGAGGCACCAUGGAGAUGACAAGUUCCUCUUGUCCAGCCAGCUACCAUUGGACAAGGUUUGGGGCAUUAGAUGGCAGGUACGUACCAAGUCUCAGACACAGGACAUCUCCAGCAAGUGAAGUGUGGAUGAGUGCCAGGCUGGUCCCAGGAACAAGAUGGUAGGUAGAGGGUGGCACCUGCCCACUGAGCACCUGUGCACAGGUCAGCCUCCUGGCCAGGACCCCUGUGUAGUCCUGUCCAGGGUGUGAGGAUAACAGGGCCAUAGUGGAAGCCCCCAGGGCUGUCCCCCUAAAAUUUCAUGUCACUGCCCUAAGCAGACCUGGGCUAGGCUCUCCAGGAGACACAUGACUGCCACAGCCCUGCAGGCACUGCACACAAGGAAAGCCAGAAACGAGGUGUUCUCACCCAAGCCCAGGGAGAGGCACACYUUUGGGGGCCCCUUCCCACUGAGGAUGGGAGAGGCUUGCCUGGCCCUUAGGGAGAGAGUGCACCUAAAUCAGCAGUGGCGGGGGCGGAGCCAGGCAGGGAGCUAGGGGGACUCCAGGGGACCUGAGCAGGGGUGACUAGCUGCCAAAGACCCCAGCAGUGUCCAGAUUCCUGUUUCCCCAGCAUGCUCAUAGGAAAGCUGCCACCUUAUUCCACCCACCUGCUGAGGUAGAGGGCCUGAGCUGAGGCCUAGGACCCCUGCCAGGGUGCCCCAGGCCAUCAGGGUCCCCAGGAGGCACAGCCCUGGCCGGCUGCCCACCACACCCCUGACAWGCACUCACCUUGUACCCCCUGGCCCUACCACCCACCCUCCCAGCUUCUUACAGAUUUCUUUAAAUUUAU